AUUGCUUCUCUGCUAUUCUUGUCUGAGAUCAAGCGGAGGUUCUGCUUUUAUCAGUUGUUCUUUAUUUGAGAACUGUAUAUUAAAUUGAUUUUUAAUUAGGUAGAAUAGCAGCUUGCUCUGUCCACCAUGUGCAUCACCCUGAUACUACAGUACUUCUGGGAAUGGUACAUCUCCU
ensembl:snRNA U2 U2 spliceosomal RNA